UAUAGCCAUACUUUUGGGUGUAUUUGUAA
rnacentral:piRNA from 1 species